UACAGAGGUCUCAAGCGUUUGUUCGGAUUCAUUGGGCGUAAAGGGUGUGUAGGUGGCGCGCUAAGUCGGGUGUGAAAUUCGGAGCUUAACUCCGAAACUGCAUUCGAUACUGGCGUGCUUGAGGACUGGAGAGGAGACUGGAAUUCAUGGUGUAGCAGUGAAAUGCGUAGAGAUCAUGAGGAAGACCAGUGGCGAAGGCGGGUCUCUGGACAGUUCCUGACACUGAGACACGAAGGCCAGGGGAGCAAACGGG
rnacentral:rRNA from 1 species